UUUGGGGAAAACUUUUUGAAGAGAAAGGUUUAUCUGAGAGAAAAAUUUGAGAGUUUAGUGGGGUAGAUGUCUAAGUGUUGAUUUUGCAGGAUCUAAUCAUCUCUUCUACCUCCUCGCUUUUUGUACCGCCCUCUCUCCGGCCGCGCAGCACAGAGUCUUCUUUUUUAGGUUUGUUUCCUUCUAUGCUUGUUUCUGUAAUUCCCUAAUAAACAUGGAUAAUAUACUAAAAUGAUUGGCAGUAGCAAUAUAUGGCUUUCUGGUAGUAUCAUAGUGAUAUUCUUAGAUUAUAGAAUUUGUACGUCAAAUUUCUUCUUUUACUUCAUUGUUUGCUGCUUAUUGUGUUGUUCUACACUUUAAAGAUGUCUGUGUGUGGUGGGGGAAUGGAUCCCCUCGUGCUCAAGUUGAUUGAAUUGUUUUUUUUUUUCCUCUGUUUAUACCUAUGUAUUGAUUUUUUUUUUUGUGCUAGCAAAAAACUCAGGCUGGAUAAGAUGCUGGAGAAUAUUUUUUAGUGUGGUUGCAGAUGCAUUUUUUACAAGGGAAAAAACCUGAGAUAAAUCAGGAAGGGUUAGGAUAAGGAUUUAUUAGUGCUUUUGUAAUCACAUGCAUGUUGUAAACACCCACCACCCAAUUUCGUCGGGAUCAACUAAAUAAAAGAUUUUUUUUAUUUUAUUUUUAUCUUAUGUUCUUUCAUUUUAUUUUAUGUUAUUUUAUUAUUUUUAAUUUUAUUUUACUAUUUUGUAUUUGAUUUGGUUUUUUUAAAGAAAAAAAACGAAAAAAAAAAAGA
rnacentral:lncRNA from 1 species